GUCCUUUUGUUUUAUAUUUAAGGUCUAGCCUGCCCAAUGAUAAUAUUUAAUGGCCGCAGUAUUUUGACUGUGCAAAGGUAGCAUAAUCAUUAGUUUCUUAAUUAGGAACUUGUAUGAAUGGCUGGAUGAGAAAUAAUCUGUCUCUAGUUAAUUUAAAUAUAAUUUUAUUUUUGAGUUAAAAAGCUUAAAUGUUAAUUAAAGACGAGAAGACCCUAUAGAGUUUAAUAAAUUUUUUAUUUUAAUAUUUUAGGUAUUAAAGUUUUAAAAUAAAAAAUUUAUUUUGUUGGGGUGAUAGGGAAAUUUAAUAAACUUUUCUUUUUUAAAAACAAUAAUAUAUGAUUUUUUGAUCCAAUUUUUUUGAUUAAAAGAUUAAAUUACCUUAGGGAUAACAGCGUAAUUUUUUUAGAGAGUUCUAAUCGAUAAAAAAGUUUGCGACCUCGAUGUUGGAUUAAAAUUAAUUAUUGGCGCAGUAGUUGAUAAAUUAAGUCUGUUCGACUUUUAAAAUUUUACGUGAUC
rnacentral:rRNA from 1 species